rnacentral:rRNA from 1 species
AUCGGAACGUGCCCGAUCGUGGGGGAUAACGAAGCGAAAGCUUUGCUAAUACCGCAUACGAUCUACGGAUGAAAGCGGGGGAUCUUCGGACCUCGCGCGGACGGAGCGGCCGAUGGCAGAUUAGGUAGUUGGUGGGAUAAAAGCUUACCAAGCCGACGAUCUGUAGCUGGUCUGAGAGGAUGAUCAGCCACACUGGGACUGAGACACGGCCCAGACUCCUACGGGAGGCAGCAGUGGGGAAUUUUGGACAAUGGGCGCAAGCCUGAUCCAGCCAUGCCGCGUGCAGGAUGAAGGCCUUCGGGUUGUAAACUGCUUUUGUACGGAACGAAAAGGUGCCUUCUAAUAAAGGGCGCUCAUGACGGUACCGUAAGAAUAAGCACCGGCUAACUACGUGCCAGCAGCCGCGGUAAUACGUAGGGUGCGAGCGUUAAUCGGAAUUACUGGGCGUAAAGCGUGCGCAGGCGGUUUUGUAAGACAGAGGUGAAAUCCCCGGGCUCAACCUGGGAACUGCCUUUGUGACUGCAAGGCUGGAGUGCGGCAGAGGGGGAUGGAAUUCCGCGUGUAGCAGUGAAAUGCGUAGAUAUGCGGAGGAACACCGAUGGCGAAGGCAAUCCCCUGGGCUGCACUGAC